rnacentral:misc_RNA from 1 species
UUUAGUUCCUUAAGUUUUCUUUCAUAUAGCCCACAUAUACCAUCCAUAGCUUGAGUUAUUGAAUCAUAAUCCAUAAAUGUUCUAGUUGCUCUAUUUUGAGAGGUCUGCAUCAGAAUGAUGGUAUGCCUAUUUGCCAUGCGAAAACUGUCAGUACGAUGGCUUCAAUAGCAAGAGCAAGAAUGGAUUCUUUGCUUCAGCUCUACACGCAGAGAGAGAGAGAGAGAGAAAUAUA